CCUACGGGGGGCUGCAGUGGGGAAUAUUGCGCAAUGGGGGCAACCCUGACGCAGCCAUGCCGCGUGAAUGAAGAAAGCCUUCGGGUUGUAAAGUUCUUUCGGUAGCGAGGAAGGCAUUUAGUUUAAUAGACUAGGUGAUUGACGUUAACUACAGAAGAAGCACCGGCUAACUCCGUGCCAGCAGCCGCGGUAAUACGGAGGGUGCGAGCGUUAAUCGGAAUAACUGGGCGUAAAGGGCACGCAGGCGGUGACUUAAGUGAGGUGUGAAAGCCCCGGGCUUAACCUGGGAAUUGCAUUUCAUACUGGGUCGCUAGAGUACUUUAGGGAGGGGUAGAAUUCCACGUGUAGCGGUGAAAUGCGUAGAGAUGUGGAGGAAUACCGAAGGCGAAGGCAGCCCCUUGGGAAUGUACUGACGCUCAUGUGCGAAAGCGUGGGGAGCAAACAGGAUUAGAUACCCGUGUAGUC
rnacentral:rRNA from 1 species